CAAGUCGAACGGAUAUCUUCGGAUAUGAGUGGCGAACGGGUGAGUAACACGUACGGAACCUGCCUGCAUGAGCGGGAGAACUUCUGGAAACGGAAGCUGAUACCGGAUGAGCAAAGAGGAGGCAUCUUCUUUUUGGAAAAGGGGACAAGAGUCCCGCAUGCAGAUGGACCUGCGGUGCAUUAGCUGGUUGGAGAGGUAACGGCUCACCAAGGCGACGAUGCAUAGCCGGCCUGAGAGGGCGGACGGCCACACUGGGACUGAGACACGGCCCAGACUCCUGCGGGAGGCAGCAGUAGGGAAUUUUCGUCAAUGGGGGGAACCCUGAACGAGCAAUGCCGCGUGAGCGAGGAAGGUCUUCGGAUCGUAAAGCUCUGUUGCCGGGGACAAAAGGCAGAAAGAGUGGAAAGCUUUCUGAGUGAUGGUACCCGGCGAGGAAGUCACGGCUAACUACGUGCCAGCAGCCGCGGUAAUACGUAGGUGGCGAGCGUUAUCCGGAAUGAUUGGGCGUAAAGGGUGCGCAGGCGGCCGGGCAAGUCCGCAGUAAAAACUGGAGGCUCAACCUUCAGGGGCUGCGGAAACUGUCCGGCUGGAGAGCAGGAGAGGACGGUGGAACUCCAUGUGUAGCGGUAAAAUGCGUAGAUAUACGGAAGAACACCGGUGGCGAAGGCGGCCGUCUGGCCUGCAUCUGACGCUGAGGCACGAAAGCGUGGGGAGCAAAUAGG
rnacentral:rRNA from 1 species